CAGAAACACUGGUUUCCAUAGGAUCACCAAAGUUAAGCAAUGACGAGCUUGGUCAGUAUCUAGAUGAGUGACGGCUUGGGAAUAUCAGGUUCUGUA